GACGAACGCUGGCGGCGUGCCUAAUACAUGCAAGUCGAGCGGACGGAUGGGAGCUUGCUCCCAGACCGUCAGCGGCGGACGGGUGAGUAACACGUGGGCAACCUGCCUGUAAGACUGGGAUAACUCCGGGAAACCGGGGCUAAUACCGGAUAACUCUUUCCCUCACAUGAGGGAAAGCUGAAAGAUGGCAUCUCGCUAUCACUUACAGAUGGGCCCGCGGCGCAUUAGCUAGUUGGUGAGGUAACGGCUCACCAAGGCGACGAUGCGUAGCCGACCUGAGAGGGUAAUCGGCCACACUGGGACUGAGACACGGCCCAGACUCCUACGGGAGGCAGCAGUAGGGAAUCUUCCGCAAUGGACGAAAGUCUGACGGAGCAACGCCGCGUGAGUGAUGAAGGUUUUCGGAUCGUAAAACUCUGUUGUCAGGGAAGAACAAGUACCGGAGUAACUGCCGGUACCUUGACGGUACCUGACCAGAAAGCCACGGCUAACUACGUG
rnacentral:rRNA from 1 species